CUAAUACCGGAUAACAACAGAUGAUCGCCUAUAAACUGUUUAAAAGAUGGUUCUGCUAUCACUCUUGGAUGGACCUGCGGUGCAUUAGCUAGUUGGUAGGGUAACGGCCUACCAAGGCGAUGAUGCAUAGCCGAGUUGAGAGACUGAUCGGCCACAUUGGGACUGAGACACGGCCCAAACUCCUACGGGAGGCAGCAGCU
rnacentral:rRNA from 1 species